GCCUUCGUGGUGUAGUGGGCAGCACGUUGGACCGCACUCCAAAGGUCCGUGGUUCGAGUCCCGGCGAAGGCG
rnacentral:tRNA from 1 species